rnacentral:rRNA from 1 species
GGUCAAGCGAACAAGUGCAUGUGGUGGAUGCCUUGGCGAUCACAGGCGAUGAAGGACGCGGUAGCCUGCGAAAAGCUUCGGGGAGCUGGCAAACAAGCUUUGAUCCGGAGAUGUCCGAAUGGGGAAACCCGGCCCGUAUGGGUCAUCCCUGACUGAAUACAUAGGUCAGGGAAGCGAACGCGGCGAACUGAAACAUCUAAGUAGCUGCAGGAACAGAAAUCAACCGAGAUUCCCAGAGUAGUGGCGAACGAAAUGGGAAGAGCCUUGUACUCUUUAGCAGUGUUGUUAGCAGAACGGGAUGGAAAGCCCGGCCAUAGCAGGUGAUAGCCCUGUAUGCGAAAACAGCGUUGUGGAACUAGGUGUACGACAAGUAGGGCGGGACACGUGAAAUCCUGUCUGAAGAUGGGGGGACCAUCCUCCAAGGCUAAAUACUCGUGAUCGACCGAUAGUGAACCAGUACCGUGAGGGAAAGGCGAAAAGAACCCCGGGAGGGGAGUGAAAUAGAUCCUGAAACCGCAUGCAUACAAACAGUCGGAGCCUGGAAACGGGUGACGGCGUACCUUUUGUAUAAUGGGUCAGCGACUUACAUUCAGUGGCAAGCUUAACCGAUUAGGGAAGGCGUAGCGAAAGCGAGUCCGAAUAGGGCGUUCAGUCGCUGGGUGUAGACCCGAAACCAGACGAUCUAUCCAUGGCCAGGUUGAAGGUGCGGUAACACGUACUGGAGGACCGAACCCACUAACGUUGAAAAGUUAGGGGAUGAGCUGUGGAUAGGGGUGAAAGGCUAAACAAGUCUGGAAAUAGCUGGUUCUCUCCGAAAACUAUUUAGGUAGUGCCUCGUGUCUCACCUUCGGGGGUAGAGCACUGUCAUGGUUGGGGGGUCUAUUGCUGAUUACCCCGCCAUAGCAAACUCCGAAUACCGAAGAGUGCAAUCACGGGAGACAGACAUCGGGUGCUAACGUCCGGUGUCAAGAGGGAAACAACCCAGACCGCCAGCUAAGGUCCCUAAGAUUGGCUAAGUGGGAAACGAAGUGGGAAGGCUAAAACAGUCAGGAGGUUGGCUUAGAAGCAGCCAUCCUUUAAAGAAAGCGUAAUAGCUCACUGAUCGAGUCGUCCUGCGCGGAAGAUGUAACGGGGCUAAGCCAGUCACCGAAGCUGCGGAUGCACGUAAGUGCAUGGUAGGAGAGCGUUCUGUAAGCCUGUGAAGGUGUCUUGUAAAGGAUGCUGGAGGUAUCAGAAGUGCGAAUGCUGACAUGAGUAGCGAUAAAGGGGGUGAAAAGCCCCCUCGCCGUAAGCCCAAGGUUUCCUACGCAACGUUCAUCGGCGUAGGGUGAGUCGGCCCCUAAGGCGAGGCAGAGAUGCGUAGCUGAUGGGAAGCAGGUUAAUAUUCCUGCACCGUCGUAUGAUGCGAUGGGGGGACGGAUCGCGGAAGGUUGUCCGGGUGUUGGAAGUCCCGGUCCCUGCAUUGGAGAAGGCGCUUAGGCAAAUCCGGGCGCGGAAUUCAAGGAUGUGGGGCGAGCGGCCUAGUGCUGCGAAGCAAUUGGAAGUGGUUCCAAGAAAAGCCUCUAAGCUUCAGUCAUACGAGACCGUACCGCAAACCGACACAGGUGGGCGAGAUGAGUAUUCUAAGGCGCUUGAGAGAACUCGGGAGAAGGAACUCGGCAAAUUGGUACCGUAACUUCGGGAUAAGGUACGCCCUUGUAGCUUGACUGGCCUGCGCCAGGAGGGUGAAGGGGUUGCAAUAAAAUGGUGGCUGCGACUGUUUAAUAAAAACACAGCACUCUGCAAACACGAAAGUGGACGUAUAGGGUGUGACGCCUGCCCGGUGCCGGAAGAUUAAAUGAUGGGGUGCAAGCUCUUGAUUGAAGUCCCGGUAAACGGCGGCCGUAACUAUAACGGUCCUAAGGUAGCGAAAUUCCUUGUCGGGUAAGUUCCGACCUGCACGAAUGGCGUAACGAUGGCCACACUGUCUCCUCCCGAGACUCAGCGAAGUUGAAGUGUUUGUGAUGAUGCAAUCUCCCCGCGGCUAGACGGAAAGACCCCAUGAACCUUUACUGUAGCUUUGCAUUGGACUUUGAACCGAUCUGUGUAGGAUAGGUGGGAGGCUUUGAAGCGUGGACGCUAGUCUGCGUGGAGCCGUCCUUGAAAUACCACCCUGGUUUGUUUGAGGUUCUAACCUUGGUCCGUGAAUCCGGAUCGGGGACAGUGCAUGGUAGGCAGUUUGACUGGGGCGGUCUCCUCCCAAAGUGUAACGGAGGAGUUCGAAGGUACGCUUGGUACGGUCGGACAUCGUACCUAAAGUGCAAUGGCAAAAGCGUGCUUAACUGCGAGACCGACAAGUCGAGCAGGUGCGAAAGCAGGACAUAGUGAUCCGGUGGUUCUGAAUGGAAGGGCCAUCGCUCAACGGAUAAAAGGUACUCUGGGGAUAACAGGCUGAUACCGCCCAAGAGUUCAUAUCGACGGCGGUGUUUGGCACCUCGAUGUCGGCUCAUCUCAUCCUGGGGCUGUAGCCGGUCCCAAGGGUAUGGCUGUUCGCCAUUUAAAGAGGUACGUGAGCUGGGUUUAAAACGUCGUGAGACAGUUUGGUCCCUAUCUGCCGUGGGCGUUGGAAUCUUGACGGGGGCUGCUCCUAGUACGAGAGGACCGGAGUGGACGUACCGCUGGUGUACCUGUUGUCUCGCCAGAGGCAUCGCAGGGUAGCUAUGUACGGAAGAGAUAACCGCUGAAAGCAUCUAAGCGGGAAACUCGCCUGAAGAUGAGGAUUCCCUGGAGCCUUGAGCUCCUUGAAGGGUCGUUCGAGACCAGGACGUUGAUAGGCUGGGUGUGGAAGCGCAGUAAUGCGUUAAGCUAACCAGUACUAAUUGCCCGUAAGGCUUGAUCCU